rnacentral:rRNA from 1 species
GUACUAAGGUAGCAUAAUAACUAGCCUUUUAAUUAAAGGAUGGAAUGAAAGAACCAACGAACUAACAAGUCAUCCUUUAUAAUAAUAAAGAAAUUAUCAAUAAGGUAAAAAGACCUUAAUACAAUUAGGAAGACGACAAGACCCUGAUGAACUUUAACAAUAUGUUUGGCUGGGGCAGCCAUAAAAUAACACCUUAUUAACAACUACCACAAUUAAGAAAUAUACAAGACCGAAACAAGUUACCACAGGGAUAACAGCACUAUUCCCUUCAAGAGCACUAAUCUAAAAAGGAGAUUAUGACCUCGAUGUUGAAUUACCUAUAGUAUAUAGGCAACCCUAUACCACAAUGGUCUGUUCGACCAAAAACAGGUACAUGAU